AACGAACGCUGGCGGCGUGCCUAACACAUGCAAGUCGUGCGAGAAAGUUCCUUCGGGAGCGAGUAAAGCGGCGCACGGGUGAGUAACACGUAGGUAACCUGCCCCCCAGUCUGGAACAACUAGAGGAAACUCUAGCUAAUGCCGGAUGAGACCACGAUCCCUUCGGGGGUUGCGGCCAAAGAUGGCCUCUACUUGUAAGCUAUCGCUGAGGGAUGGGCCUGCGGGCCAUUAGCUUGUUGGUGAGGUAACGGCUCACCAAGGCUGUGAUGGCUAGCUGGUCUGAGAGGAUGACCAGCCACACUGGGACUGAGACACGGCCCAGACUCCUACGGGAGGCAGCAGUGGGGAAUAUUGCGCAAUGGGCGAAAGCCUGACGCAGCGACGCCGC
rnacentral:rRNA from 1 species